rnacentral:lncRNA from 1 species
CUUGGAAAAGCACAGACCACCUGCCCAGCCAGCAGGCUGUGGGAGUUUCCUUGGCAACCCGCUGCGCCCCACCUUACCUUGGUGAGCUGGGCGAUCUUCUUGCACAUUUUCACGUGCAUCUCGGGAUCACAGUCCAUUCUCCAGCCGGCGCCACCGUCGGCUUUGGAGCCCUGGCAAGUCCCGGGCGGGUUAAUUUUGCUGUUGAGAGCAGAAGCCAUCGCU